rnacentral:rRNA from 1 species
UGGGGAAUCUUGCGCAAUGGCCGAAAGGCUGACGCAGCGACGCCGCGUGUGGGAUGAAGCAUUUCGGUGUGUAAACCACUGUUGCCCGGGACGAACAGCCUCUUUCGAGAGGCCUGACGGUACCGGGUGAGGAAGCACCGGCUAACUCCGUGCCAGCAGCCGCGGUAAUACGGAGGGUGCGAGCGUUGUCCGGAAUCACUGGGCGUAAAGGGCGCGUAGGUGGCGCGGGCAGUCAACGGUGAAAGUUCGGGGCUCAACCCCGAAUCGGCCGUCGAUACUCCCGUGCUUGAGCACUGUAGAGGCAGAUGGAAUUCCGGGUGUAGCGGUGGAAUGCGUAGAGAUCCGGAAGAACACCGGUGGCGAAGGCGGUCUGCUGGGCAGUUGCUGACACUGAGGCGCGACAGCGUGGGGAGCAAACAGGAUUAGAUACCCCCGUAGUCC